rnacentral:snRNA from 1 species
GUGCUCGCUUGGGCAGCACAUAUACUAAAAUUGGAACAAAAC